GACAGCCAGGAUGUUGGCUUAGAAGCAGCCAUCAUUUAAAGAAAGCGUAAUAGCUCACUGGUCGAGUCGGCCUGCGCGGAAGAUGUAACGGGGCUAAACCAUGCACCGAAGCUGCGGCAGCGACGCUGAUGCGUUGUUGGGUAGGGGAGCGUUCUGUAAGCCUGCGAAGGUGUGCUGUGAGGCAUGCUGGAGGUAUCAGAAGUGCGAAUGCUGACAUAAGUAACGAUAAAGCGGGUGAAAAGCCCGCUCGCCGGAAGACCAAGGGUUCCUGUCCAACGUUAAUCGGGGCAGGGUGAGUCGACCCCUAAGGCGAGGCCGAAAGGCGUAGUCGAUGGGAAACAGGUUAAUAUUCCUGUACUUGGUGUUACUGCGAAGGGGGGACGGAGAAGGCUAUGUUGGCCGGGCGACGGUUGUCCCGGUUUAAGCGUGUAGGCUGGUUUUCCAGGCAAAUCCGGAAAAUCAAGGCUGAGGCGUGAUGACGAGGCACUACGGUGCUGAAGCAACAAAUGCCCUGCUUCCAGGAAAAGCCUCUAAGCAUCAGGUAACAUCAAAUCGUACCCCAAACCGACACAGGUGGUCAGGUAGAGAAUACCAAGGCGCUUGAGAGAACUCGGGUGAAGGAACUAGGCAAAAUGGUGCCGUAACUUCGGGAGAA
rnacentral:rRNA from 1 species